AUCACUUGACCAUUUCAUUUGUUCUACCUUUUUCUUUCUUUUUCUUUUCUUUUUGCUCUGUUCUGGGCUGGGGAAGUACGAAGAAGAAACAGAGCAAAAACAGGGAGAGAGAAGGAAGGAAGAAAACGAAGGAGGAGAAGACUGGGGCUUCGGGAACGGUCCGUAAGUUGGGGUUGAGGACACCAAUAUUGUCCAUCCUGAAGGCCAAGUUUGAUGAACCAAUUUGGGUGUUUGAUAAACUUCUAGCUGUGCGGAAGGACUACUUUUUGAUAUCGUGGAUCAGCUCGGAGAAUUAGGUAGGGACCUUAGUUAUAUGAUAAGUAUUCUUUUUGCAUAGAACGUAUUUGUAUAUGUUACGACCUGAAAUUUUUGUGUAGUUGGUUUAGUGAUGUGGUUGAAGAGAAAAUACUCUCUUUGAGAUGCAUAUACAUAUUAGAGAUUGCUGGAUUGGAUAUAUAUAUUUAGGCCUUAUGGAACGUAGGUUUAGAUGUGAAUAGUUUGUGUGAUAAUGGAUAUCGACCAAAUUUAAGGGAAGUUCUGUCGAAAUUUCGGGUUGUGACAUUACCAUUAAGAUCCACGUUUGGCUAUGUUUAUCUGUUGGCUGGAGGAGUCACCUCCUAGAAGAGUGGUAAGCAAAUGCCUACCACCACUUCAAUGAUGGAGGCAAAGUUCAUAGUUGUUAUGCGGCAUCUAAUUAUGGAAUAUGACUACAAAAUUUUGUCACUUUCUGCAACUUCUGUAAAGUGUUGAAAGACCACUAAAGUUAUUAUGUGACAAUAAGUUGCCAAUCUUAUAUUCCAACAACAAUAUAGAGUGGUCAGUUAUCUUUAGAGCACAUCGGUAUAGCUUCCGUGCUUGCAGGUCCGCUCACAAAAGCUUUAACACCCUCGGUUUUUUAUGAGCAUGUCGCUAAUAUGGGUAUUAUGUCUCGUGAGGAUACUAUGGUUGAGGUUGUAUUUUGAUUAUAGUAUUACAAUAUGGAUAUUUUCGGCAGAAUAAAGUUUAUACAGACUAUAGUUUAUAGUUUAUUACAC